AACCUGGUUGAUCCUGCCAGUAGUCAUAUGCUUGUCUAAAAGAUUAAGCCAUGCAAGUCUAAGUAAAAGCAAUUUUUAUUGUGAAACUGCGGAUAGCUCAUUAUAUCAGUUAUAGUUUAUUUGAUGAUACCCUACUACAUGGAUAACUGUAGUAAUUCUAGAGCUAAUACAUGCCCAAUAAUUCACCUUCGGGUGAUUGGACUUAUUAGUAUUCAAAUCGCCUUCUCGCACUUUCGGGUGCGAUAACCGUUUAUUGAUAAUAAUUUCUAGAUCGCGUAUACCUUAGCGGGUAGCGAUGGGUCAUUCAAAUUUCUGCCCUAUCAGCUGGGAUGGUAGUGUAUUGGACUACCAUGGCUGAUACGGGUGACGGAGGAUUAGGGUCUGAUUCCGGAGAGGGAGCCUGAGAAACGGCUACCACUUCCAAGGAAGGCAGCAGGCGCGUAAAUUACCCAAUCCCAAUACGGGGAGGUAGUGACAAGAAAUAACAAUACUACUGCUCUUUAAGAGUGUGGU
rnacentral:rRNA from 1 species